rfam:Caldicellulosiruptor owensensis OL, complete genome.
AAGAUGGCAUCGAAAAGAUUGUCGAGCCAUACUUUUAAGAUUCUUAAUAUUUAAAAGUUUAAAACUGAAAAUAUUAAAAAGCUGCCCUGAUUUUUGAAGAACAGGGACUGCAUA